CCUGGCGGCUAUAGCGAGUUGGAACCACUCGAUCCCAUCCCGAACUCGUCCGUGAAACAACUCAGCGCCUAUGAUAGUGUGGGGUCCCUCCACGCGAAAGUCGGUCACCGCCAGGC
rnacentral:rRNA from 1 species